GACAGAGGAUGCAAGCGUUUAUCCGGAAUGAUUGGGCGUAAAGCGUCUGUAGGUGGCUUUUUAAGUCCGCCGGUCAAAUCCCAGGGCUCAACCCUGGACAGGCGGUGGAAACUACCAAGGCUGGAGUCACGGUAGGGGCAGAGGGAAUUUCCGGUUGGAGCGGGUGAAAUGCGUAGAGAUCGGAAAGAACACCAACGGCGAAAGCACUCUGCUGGGCCGACACUGACACUGAGAGACGAAGCUAGGGGAGCGAAUGGG
rnacentral:rRNA from 1 species